rnacentral:rRNA from 1 species
GGGCCCGCACAAGCAGUGGAGUAUGUGGUUUAAUUCGACGCAACGCGAAGAACCUUACCAGGGCUUGACAUCCUCUGACCGCAGCAGAGAUGCUGCUUUCCCUUCGGGGACAGAGAGACAGGUGGUGCAUGGUUGUCGUCAGCUCGUGUCGUGAGAUGUUGGGUUAAGUCCCGCAACGAGCGCAACCCCUAUUGCCAGUUGCCAGCAGGUUAAGCUGGGCACUCUGGCGAGACUGCCGUUGACAAAACGGAGGAAGGUGGGGACGACGUCAAAUCAUCAUGCCCCUUAUGUCCUGGGCUACACACGUACUACAAUGGCAACAACAGAGGGCAGCCAAACCGCGAGGUUGAGCGAAUCCCAAAAUGUUGUCUCAGUUCAGAUUGCAGGCUGCAACUCGCCUGCAUGAAGUCGGAAUUGCUAGUAAUGGCAGGUCAGCAUACUGCCGUGAAUACGUUCCCGGGCCUU